rnacentral:rRNA from 1 species
GACGAACGCUUGCAGCGUGCUUAACACAUGCAAGUCGAACGGAAAGGCCCUGCUUUUGUGGGGUGCUCGAGUGGCGAACGGGUGAGUAACACGUGAGUAACCUGCCCUUGACUUUGGGAUAACUUCAGGAAACUGGGGCUAAUACCGGAUAGGAGCUCCUGCUGCAUGGUGGGGGUUGGAAAGUUUCGGCGGUUGGGGAUGGACUCGCGGCUUAUCAGCUUGUUGGUGGGGUAGUGGCUUACCAAGGCUUUGACGGGUAGCCGGCCUGAGAGGGUGACCGGCCACAUUGGGACUGAGAUACGGCCCAGACUCCUACGGGAGGCAGCAGUGGGGAAUAUUGCACAAUGGGCGGAAGCCUGAUGCAGCAACGCCGCGUGCGGGAUGACGGCCUUCGGGUUGUAAACCGCUUUCGCCUGUGACGAAGCGUGAGUGACGGUAAUGGGUAAAGAAGCACCGGCUAACUACGUGCCAGCAGCCGCGGUGAUACGUAGGGUGCGAGCGUUGUCCGGAUUUAUUGGGCGUAAAGGGCUCGUAGGUGGUUGAUCGCGUCGGAAGUGUAAUCUUGGGGCUUAACCCUGAGCGUGCUUUCGAUACGGGUUGACUUGAGGAAGGUAGGGGAGAAUGGAAUUCCUGGUGGAGCGGUGGAAUGCGCAGAUAUCAGGAGGAACACCAGUGGCGAAGGCGGUUCUCUGGGCCUUUCCUGACGCUGAGGAGCGAAAGCGUGGGGAGCGAACAGGCUUAGAUACCCUGGUAGUCCACGCUGUAAACGGUGGGUACUAGGUGUGGGGUCCAUUCCACGGGUUCCGUGCCGUAGCUAACGCUUUAAGUACCCCGCCUGGGGAGUACGGCCGCAAGGCUAAAACUCAAAGGAAUUGACGGGGCCCCGCACAAGCGGCGGAGCAUGCGGAUUAAUUCGAUGCAACGCGUAGAACCUUACCUGGGUUUGACAUGGAUCGGGAGUGCUCAGAGAUGGGUGUGCCUCUUUUGGGGUCGGUUCACAGGUGGUGCAUGCCUGUCGUCAGCUCGUGUCGUGAGAUGUUGGGUUAAGUCCCGCAACGAGCGCAACCCUUGUUCACUGUUGCCAGCACGUUAUGGUGGGGACUCAGUGGAGACCGCCGGGGUCAACUCGGAGGAAGGUGGGGAUGACGUCAAGUCCUCAUGCCCCUUAUGUCCAGGGCUUCACGCAUGCUACAAUGGCUGGUACAGAGAGUGGCGAGCCUGUGAGGGUGAGCGAAUCUCGGAAAGCCGGUCUCAGUUCGGAUUGGGGUCUGCAACUCGACCUCAUGAAGUCGGAGUCGCUAGUAAUCGCAGAUCAGCAACGCUGCGGUGAAUACGUUCCCGGG